rnacentral:rRNA from 1 species
UAUUGUGGCUCGACCCCUUUAUUCCACCCAAAACUUUUAAGACUUGGUUGCAU